GUGCUGCAUGGCUGUCGUCAGCUCGUGUCGUGAGAUGUUGGGUUAAGUCCCGUAACGAGCGCAACCCUUGUCCUUAGUUGCCAGCGAUUCAUGCGGGGAACUCUAGGAAAACUGCCGGUAAUAAACCGAAGAAGGGGGGGAACAACUUCAAUUC
rnacentral:rRNA from 1 species